GGUUGUAGCUCAAUGGUAGAGCAUAUGCUUAGUAUGUACAAGGCAUGUGGGUUUUAUUCCCACCACCA
rnacentral:tRNA from 1 species